UUGCUAGUCUGGUCCCUCUCUGAGCUCUGAAGUUCAGUGCCUUCCCUCUACUGAGCUAUGUGGGUGCUACAGGGAUUAGAAAUCAUUCAAAAGGACACACUGCUUUGAAACUACAAGACACCCACCUGCCUGGGACCCAGCCAAGGCUGGUCACAUUGUUGCACUAAUGGGCCUGCAUGUGAAGGCUCCAGUUCUGGCAUGAAUCGCAGCUCUUUGAGAUCCAUCUCUUCCCUGAGGUGUGCAUGAGUAGCAGUGAACCAGAGCAUGCUGUGAAGGGCAGAAGCAUUGAUUGAAGGAAGCAAUCGGAUACAUGUGUGAUUCUUUCUCCACAGAGUUCUCAAAAUCUAAUCAGAAAAGCUUUUCUUGAAAUUGCAUUUCUGUUUUAUGUUACAAAAUAAUUACACUUUUUAGUGCCUGAUGUUUCUUGACACUUUUUUUUCCCCCUUUGCUUGUGUCUACCUUCAGCAUAUCUAU
rnacentral:lncRNA from 1 species